rnacentral:lncRNA from 1 species
GCAGGACAGGGAGAGAGCGUGGUUGGCUGACAACUGCAGCAAGAAAAGCAGACCUACUUCUAAGAUGAAGGCUACCUCUGGCAUCUUGCUCCUUGUAAUACUUACAGCAUUGGCUGCCAUGGUCACUGCAACUGAAGAGAGAAACGACGUGGCAGGUCGUGGAGGCGGUUAUGGAACGGGAUGCCCAGACGCCGCUGCCUGCACAGCAAGCUGCAAAAGCCGUGGUUUCCUGCUAGGCGUGUGCCUUGCACCUCUACUGCAAGUCUGUUUGUGCUCAUAAUGUAUGAUCGAGCCCGUCAUCAGCCAGCAAUAAAGGUCGCUUGC